rnacentral:rRNA from 1 species
AGAGUUUGAUCCUGGCUCAGAUUGAACGCUGGCGGCAGGCUUAACACAUGCAAGUCGAACGGUAACAGGAAGGAAGCUUGCUUUCUUUGCUGACGAGUGGCGGACGGGUGAGUAAUGCUCGGGAAUCUGGCUUAUGGAGGGGGAUAACUACGGGAAACUGUAGCUAAUACCGCGUAAUAUCUUCGGAUUAAAGGGUGGGACCGUAAGGCCACCUGCCAUAAGAUGAGCCCAAGUGGGAUUAGGUAGUUGGUGGGGUAAAGGCCUACCAAGCCGACGAUCUCUAGCUGGUCUGAGAGGAUGACCAGCCACACUGGAACUGAGACACGGUCCAGACUCCUACGGGAGGCAGCAGUGGGGAAUAUUGCACAAUGGGGGGAACCCUGAUGCAGCCAUGCCGCGUGAAUGAAGAAGGCCUUCGGGUUGUAAAGUUCUUUCGGUGAUGAGGAAGGCAGGUAAGUUAAUAGCUUACUUGAUUGACGUUAGUCACAGAAGAAGCACCGGCUAACUCCGUGCCAGCAGCCGCGGUAAUACGGAGGGUGCGAGCGUUAAUCGGAAUGACUGGGCGUAAAGGGCACGCAGGCGGUGACUUAAGUGAGAUGUGAAAGCCCCGGGCUUAACCUGGGAAUUGCAUUUCAUACUGGGUCGCUAGAGUAUUUUAGGGAGGGGUAGAAUUCCACGUGUAGCGGUGAAAUGCGUAGAGAUGUGGAGGAAUACCGAAGGCGAAGGCAGCCCCUUGGGAAUAUACUGACGCUCAUGUGCGAAAGCGUGGGGAGCAAACAGGAUUAGAUACCCUGGUAGUCCACGCUGUAAACGCUGUCGAUUUGGGGAUUGGGCUUUGAGCUUGGUGCCCGUAGCUAACGUGAUAAA